AAUUUUGGACAAUGGGGGAAACCCUGAUCCAGCCAUCCCGCGUGUGCGAUGAAGGCCUUCGGUUUGUAAAGCACUUUGGCCAGGGAGGAAAAGGUUCUGGCUAUUACCCGGAACUGAUGACGUUACUUGAGGAAUAAGCCCCGCCUAACUACGUCCAAGUAGCCGCGGUAAUACGUAGGGUGCAAGCGUUAAUCGGAAUUACUGGGCGUAAAGCGUGCGCAGGCGGUUCGGAAAGAAGGAUGUGAAAUCCCAGGGCUCAACCUUGGAACUGCAUUCUUAACUACCGAACUAGAGUAUGUCAGAGGGGGGUAGAAUUCCGCGUGUAGCAGUGAAAUGCGUAGAUAUGCGGAGGAAUACCGAUGGCGAAGGCAGCCCCUGGGAUAAUACUGACGCUCAUGCACGAAAGCGUGGGUAGCAAACAGG
rnacentral:rRNA from 1 species